AGUUAAUGAACUUGAUAAAGUAUAUAUUUUGAAAAUAUAAAAUAGAAUUAAAAAAUUUCUAUUAACUU
rnacentral:tRNA from 2 species